UCACUCUCGUGUGCCACUGCGUUCCUCCCCCUCAGUCAGCGCCCGAGCGCCGCCGAGCUUGCAGCCGUUGCCCCGUGCCGUCGUUCCAAGUGCUGCGCGCCGCGUGUUUUCCCGCGAGCGCGCGUGUGUGUUAGUCCCAAUAGAUCAGCGAACGAUCUCGCGCACCUAUACCUCGGAUCUGUUCCGCAUUGUUCUGUGAUCACAAUGAAGCGGCGAGUCAUCGCAAGCUCCUCGCAAGCUUCGUAGAAGAAGCGAGAGCCGCGAGGCUGAGAGAUAGGAGAGAAGUGUGCCGCCGGAAUAAAACAGGAUGAUGACGAGGAGGAGGAGGAAGCCUUAGCGCAGAGUGUGUGUGUCGUACGAGUCUCGAAGAAGCUGCGGAGAGCUAUGCCGGUCCUACCGAUCCCGCCAACAUGAGCGUGGAGAGGAUCAGAGCCACGACGACGACGACGACGACGACGGCAAGCCGUAGGCAAGAGGUUAAUUCAUGCGGUCGAGGGCCUCUGACUACAGCAGGGCAACGGUAGCAGAGCCAGCGGCAUCGUCAGGAUCACUCGUGAAAAAUGAACCUGAUAAACAUGGACGCGGAGAACCGCGUGGUCCUGAACGUCGGCGGCAUAAGGCACGAGACUUACAAAGCGACGCUGAAGAAGAUCCCGGCGACCCGCUUGUCUCGGCUCACCGAGGCUCUCGCCAAUUACGAUCCCAUACUUAACGAGUACUUCUUCGAUCGGCAUCCGGGCGUCUUUGCCCAGGUGCUCAACUACUAUCGCACGGGCAAGCUGCACUAUCCGACCGACGUCUGCGGCCCGCUAUUCGAGGAGGAGCUCGAUUUUUGGGGCCUCGAUUCCAACCAGGUGGAGCCCUGCUGCUGGAUGACCUACACUCAGCACCGAGACACGCAGGAGACGCUGACCGUCCUGGACAGGCUCGACCUCGACACGGAGAAGCCGAGCGACGAGGAGCUCGCUCGGAAAUUCGGCUUCGAGGAAGCCUACUACAAGGGCGAGCUCACCUGGUGGCAGAAGCUCAAGCCGAAAAUGUGGUCCCUUUUCGAUGAACCCUACUCCUCCACUUACGCCAAGGUGAUCGGCGUGAUCUCGGUGUUCUUCAUCUGCGUGUCGAUCGUGUCGUUCUGCCUGAAGACCCACCCGGACAUGCGGGUGCCGGUGAUCGUGAACAAGACGGUGUACGCGGGCAACGGGACCAGCUGGGUCCUCGACAAGACCCACACGAACGCCCACGACGCGUUCUUCUACAUCGAGUGCGUGUGCAACGCCUGGUUCAGCCUGGAGUUCCUCAUCAGGAUAACGGCCAGCCCGAAGCGCUGCGAGUUCAUCAAGAGCUCGGUCAACCUCAUCGACAUGAUCGCCACGCUGAGCUUCUACAUCGACCUGGCCCUGCAGCGCUUCGCCUCGCAUCUCGAGAACGCCGACAUCCUCGAGUUCUUCAGCAUAAUCCGGAUAAUGCGGCUGUUCAAGCUCACCCGACACUCCUCCGGCCUGAAGAUCCUCAUCCAGACGUUCCGCGCCUCGGCCAAGGAACUCACGCUUCUCGUCUUCUUCCUAGUCCUCGGCAUCGUCAUCUUCGCGAGUCUGGUUUACUACGCCGAGCGCAUCCAGUACAAUCCGAAGAACGACUUCAAGAGCAUACCUCUGGGUCUGUGGUGGGCCCUGGUCACGAUGACCACGGUCGGCUACGGCGACAUGGUGCCCAAAACUUACGUGGGCAUGUUUGUCGGCGCUCUGUGCGCCCUAGCGGGCGUACUCACAAUCGCCCUGCCGGUGCCCGUGAUCGUCAGCAACUUUGCGAUGUAUUACAGUCACACGCAGGCGCGAGCCAAGCUCCCGAAGAAGAGACGUCGAGUGCUUCCAGUGGAGCAGCCCCGGACGAGAGCGCCCGGGGUGCCGGGGACCGGCGGUGCUGGCACCGGGCAGCCCGGGGCCAUGAUGCCGGCCGGGCCCGGGGGGCAUCACCCACCGCCGGUCGCCGGCCACUGCCAGCUCGCCCUCACGGCUUCCGAUGCUGGCAUGCCCCCGAUCAAGCACCAGCGGGCCAACGCCAUGAAGCCCAACCAUCCCAAGGACCCGUUCGCCACCAAGUCGGGGAGCCACGUUUAAUUCCGUCCGAUAGACCACUGGAUCUCGACGGUUAUUACCUUUCAAGAUUACCUAAUAGUUCCAAUCCGAUCGACGGGUGAUGUUACGUUAACUUAUCAUCGUUCCAUGCAUGCUGCCUACGAGAACGAGGACCGCAAGAACACGAAUCUGCGGACCAACGGGACCAAGUCAGCGUCGGGCAUGGGCUAAUCAGUGUGUCGUCCACACACGUAGCCGUGUCUCCGACGAUGACGGACUUGAGUGUGUGCGUUUACACGCGGGGGCAGGCCAGCAACGCGACCACCUUUUGCGAGGACGACGGCCAGACGGACUAGGAGAGAGACUGGACUCGCUGUGCGGAGGCGCGAAUCGUCCCUCGAGCUCCAAACUCUAUAUGCGCGUCUGUGUACUAUAAGUAUGUUACUCGUAGAGAUAAGGAACUCGAGCGCGAGCAUCGAGCUGUGCUCGGCGACGUCGGCCAGGUGGGAAAGAAUCUUGUAAAAUUAGCAGAUAUCGUAUACGCGGCCGACUCGGCCGUUCGAUAUACUGUGGCGAACGGACGAGUCGGCGAAAUGCUUUGUUCCUCACCUCGUCGACGCCGCGCUCGAGAGCACAGCUUGUCGCUCGUGUGGUUCCUCAUAGUAUGUAGUUAUUCGUAGAUCUUUUUUUUUUCUACACUAACAACACACAAGAGCGAGCAGUGCGCGGAAGAUCAGAGACUCCCGUGAUAUAGCGACAAGUGCAUUCGAAAAAGCUCGCGGCCAAUCAGAAAGUUUCGAGACUCUGCGACGAAAAGUCGAGCCGGAAUUCGAUUCAUAUACCGGAUGCGCACGUGCGAAGAAAUCGCGAGCUUUUUCCACCCCCGGAAAAAUUCAUCCCUCCGCCGGCGAGCUUUGCGGUGAUCGGAAUUCCAUUGUGCGGUCGCGGCUCUUGCAAGAUGCGGUUAUCGAUUUUCCCCCUCAUAUUUAUUCCGACUCGGAUCACUCCUCGCGUCGUCUCGAAUUAAUUUGCCUAAUGGUGGAAAGCCGCGAGCACACAUGUACGAUAUACUAUAUACGCAUAAAUAUAGGUCGCGCGACGCCGAGAGGACUUUCCUUAACACGCGGCGGUCCCCUUCUCUGAUAUCGUAUACAUACUCGACGCACUCGCAUACAUGUAUACAUAUAGCGAACACACACACGCAGAGACACAUUAUACGAAUAUAUACCCUCCAUAUCGUCGGGACCAAUAACAAGCGGCUCUUUCUCAUCCUCGCACUCCCCCCCACAGUCGCCUUUUUCGAUAUUAUUACGCAUAAUCCGGGCGGCUCUCUCUCUCUCUCUUUCUCUCUCUCGCCCCCCCCCCCCCCUACUAUCAAGCCUUCGGCGCAUCUUUCGUAUACGAGUGUGCGGUAUGAAUAUAUACUGCAGCGGCGAAACGCGCUUAUGUGUGUAUAUCACGGAGACGGUAUAUAUAUAAAACCGACAAGACUGUGUGCGGAUCUGAGGUUAUACCGCGACGGUCGCACAUGACUAAUAGCCCCGAAUUAAUCGACGAUCGCGCGCGGGUUGUGUAUUAUAAAAAAAAAAAUAAAUAAAAUAACGGAGAAAUCUCAUAUCAUAUACGUAUAGGGUAUAUAUAAAAAGUGUAGUAUAUAGAGGCUGAUUUGCUCGCGCGCACGUAGUUUUAGAAACGACGUUCGCAGGUGCAUGUUUGGGCCGGGAUGAGUGAUGAACUUGGACGCGCGUCGGCUGAUCCUCUUUAUAGUAUAACACAGAGACGCGUGCGAGACUUAUCCGUCUGUUUCCAUUAUCCAUGUAUACCGCGAGAGCGAGUGUGUUGUCCGGCAGUAUGAAACGAGGUCAGGAGGUGUUGUAUACACGUACCGUUGAAAAUUCAGAACACCUCGUCGUCACAAUUCAAUUUGCAACGCUGAGCUGCGUCGAUUCGAAUUAUCCCUGAAUACUCUUACGUUGUAGAUCGUAAUCUUCUACACUUUUCACAGCUCGGCGAGAUCCUUACUGCUCCGAAAUCAAAUUUCCCGCUAAUCACCGCCAGUAUAAAUCACCGCAACGCCGAAAGCUCGAGAACUCCCGCAACGUCUCGAAAUCCGAGAGUAACAAAGAGGUCGUAGCUAUAUACAUCAGCGUAAGGAAAAGUUGGCCACGCGCACGUCUUUCUCCGGAAAAUCCGCACGUGCUGCCGCGCACGUAUACACGUUUUUCACCUUUUUUCACAUCGCAGCGCAGCGAGAGAAGACGCGCCCGAGUUUAAGCCAAUCCCCCAAACGCUUGUUGCACGCUCGCAAGCUCCGAGGUCACGAGAGAAGCGGUCUGCGGCUUCGCGCUCGCGCAAGCGUCUGAGUCAUAUCGCUUUUUUCUCUCUCAGCUGCUGCUUUUUGCGAUUUUUAAGUAUUCGAGCGUACACAGCAGCGGAGAGUUCUUUAUAGGAGUUUCGAGGCUUUGUGGUGCGGCUGAUGGACUAUAUUUUCGCUCUUUCGGUCACUUGAUUUUCCGAGAGCUUUUGUGCGCGAGUUUUGUUUGCUCUUUUUACCCUCGAGGCAGAACGAGGCGCGGGAUUGCUUAUUAAAUGCGAGAUUUCUCAACGAGAGUCGCCAAACACUCGAGCUUUCGAUUACAUCGAUGGGGUAUACUGUUGUUAACGAUUCGCGGAGCUUUUUGAACUGACGGUACUCGAAUUGAUUGGUGGUAUUCGGUUUCGAUGAAAUAUCAGUGUAUCAUCCGUACGAAAUGAUCGGUUUGAUUGCGGAGAGCUUUUCUCGAGCUUUCGUUCAAAUUUUGAAUAUUUAUUCGAAAGUUGGAAUAUUCAGCUUUGAAAGCUCGACUUAGCCUUGUUGAAUCUGCGAGUGGAUUUUCUCACUCGAAGUUUCGGGAAAGAAAAAGGAGGAUGAAUGUACUUCGGAAAGAAAUUACGGAUUUUUAAAGAAGCUUUAAAGUCUUUAUCUUUCAUUUCUGCAACGGGGUAUGAAUUUCUCAGACCCUUAUAUUCUCUCUUCAAGCCAUGAGUAGUAGUGUUAAAACAGAACAGUUUUGCAUUAGCCUCGUCACCGGCAAUUCGACUAGUCUGCUACCUAGUACCUGGCUGUCGACAAUAGGUGGCGCAUAGGAGCUUUCCCGGCUCCCUCUAUCUAUAUCAACGCGAAGACUGCAUAUUAUAUCCAUAGCAGUGUUCUAUCCACGACAAAAUUGCUUGAUUGGGCCUACUACUAUAGGACCGUUCGUGCUAAAACUGCUUAAUUGUGUUGCUUUCAAGCUAUACAUUUAAGUGGAUUGAAGUCUUUUGAAAUUAUUUGGAUGUAGGCUUAAGGACGGUAGAACAACUUAAGUAUAACUACUUCGGUUCUUACCACACUCGACUUGUCGAACUUCGACACCAUCCCAAAACGCGAUCGAUCGCGAUCAGUUCUCUCGAAAAACAAUCCCGCGACAGCUCUCUCGCUCGCAUAUCAUCCUUCUUCAGCCCUCUCAACACACACUUUGAAACAUCCCCGCGCUCGCGACGACAAAUCCAGAUACGCGAAUCCCCAGGGUGGGCCGCGAGAGAGGAUGAAAAAAAAUCUCGGCGAAAAUCCUCUCGAGCGUAAAAACUGCGCGAUAUGCACAACUCACCGGGCUUGUGUAGAGCUUUGACGAAAGAGCGGAGGGGCGCAAGCUGGCGGGAAAUCGAAAAUUCUUCAAAUUUUCUCGCUCGAAUCUGAAAUCUAGAGCGCGUGUAUAGCGAGCGGUACAAGCACUUAGAGAGAGAGAGAGAGAGAGAGAGAGAGAGAGAGAGAGAGGGAAUUGCUCCCUCGGCGAGUCGUACGAAGAAAUGCUUCUUUCUUCCCCCUUUGGCAUAUAACGUAGAGACUCUAUCUAUUCUCGCUCUCUCUCUCUCUCUCUCUCUCUCUCUCUCUCUCUCUCUCUCUCUCUCUCUCUCUCUCUCUCUCUCUCUUUGCAUCGCGCACUAGCUGCUGUAUAUAGAAUUUUCCGCGCGAGACACGCACGAGCUGAGCUAUUUUCGUCUGUAUACGCGCCAGUCAAUCGAAAAGAAGGAAUAUAUUAUACGAGACGCAGAGCCGGGGCUACAGAGUUUUCCACACACAUUCACAUACAUACAUAUCCCGUAUAUUAUAUAAUGCAGUAUAUGAUAAACGCAGUCGCGAGAGCUUUAUGGAUUAGCCUACACACACACGCGCGCGCGCACCUAUAUGCCGUAGUCGAUCGCGAGCUGUACAUAUAUGCAUACGCUAUAGUCGUUACAGGUGUACGUGUAUAAUAUAAUACUCCACUAUAUAGAGGAGCGCGGCGCAUCGACUCCACCUCGGCGUCGCGCGUCUAAUAUACGAUAUCAAGGCUGCCGUCGUCGUCGCUCGCGCGCGAGGCAAUCAGUGCCAGGCUCCGAUUUUCCCGGGGAGUCUCUUAUUUACUCGUAUCGCUCGCUCGUAUCCCCUAUCACACCCACACCCACACACCCACACACACACACACGCGCGCGCGCGCGCGAGUCCAAGCAGUGCUGCAUGUGCGUGACGAGGGCGAGUGUAAAUUAAAAUCCCGAGAAGGAUGUUGAGGAGGAAAUUCGGUCUGAUCGUGCGGCGCAUGCGAGGAGAAAGAAAAGUCGUCGCUUGAUCGAGAUAAGAGCUCGCCUUACGUUUAUACGAACGAUGACGUUGAUAACGAGCACACACGCGCAGUUUGUUUUUUUUUCUUCUUUCUGAAACGGAAAAAGAGGGAGAAAAUUGGAGCGUCAUUUUUCUUUCCGUUGAUGGAAUAGGCUCAGCGAUAUAGCGUUUUCACGCAUGUAUAUAACGGGCUCGCGGAGCGAAGAAUGAUGAGAGAGAGAGAGAGAGAGAGAGAGAGAGGCGC